rnacentral:tRNA from 1 species
AGGGGAGUAGCUCAGCUGGUAGAGCAGCGGACUCCAAAUCCGCAGGCCGCGGGUUCGAAACCUGUCUCCCCUGCCA